UUGGUCUGACAUUUCUAGUUAUCAUACUACGUCUCUUUUAGAUGUUACCUGCCUCAUAACAAAAACGAUAUAGAUAAACUGAGCCAGUUAAUUCUUUUUUUCCUCGUUUAUUUACAACAUCACAUCUUAAUCAAUAUUUACAAUCAAGAUAUUAACGUGCCCUAUAGUUCUACAACCAUUGUUUAUGUGUAUAUUUCAGGUGUACUUGAUCUCUAUUAACAUUGGUGUAUAAUAUGACAUCUUUAUUAUGAUAAAAAAGUAUUGCACAGUCUGAAGAAUCAUUUACAUUACAAUUAAUACAUUCAUACAUGACAUACAUUCAUCAUUAUAUAAACUUUAUUAUUCAAUUUUCAAUAAUUGCAUUGAUAAGAAAUUUGUGAAGGCUAUCGCAACUGAUGUCAACGGACUCAAGCAAAAAGAACGAAUGAUUUAAGUGUUAUUAUAUAUAGAAAACUCUCCAAA
rnacentral:lncRNA from 1 species